UGGGGGAUAUUGCACAAUGGGCGAAAGCCUGAUGCAGCGACGCCGCGUGAGGGAAGACGGUUUUCGGAUUGUAAACCUCUGUCGAGGGGGACGAAGGAAGUGACGGUACCCCUUGAGGAAGCCACGGCUAACUACGUGCCAGCAGCCGCGGUAAUACGUAGGUGGCAAGCGUUGUCCGGAAUUACUGGGUGUAAAGGGAGCGUAGGCGGGAAUGCAAGUUGAAUGUAUAAACGGUCGGCUCAACCGGCCGAAGCGUUCAAAACUGCAGUUCUUGAGUGGAGUAGAGGCAGGCGGAAUUCCUAG
rnacentral:rRNA from 1 species